CUCCAGAUGUUGCUGAACUACAACUCCGAUGAAUGAAAUACAUAGGCUGAGAAUCAUGGGAGUUGUAGUUCAGCAACAUCUGGAG
rnacentral:miRNA from 1 species